AUGCUAUGAUGUACCUUUAUCCCGAACCUGACUGUUCUGAUGAGACAUCCUUACGGAUCUGACUACUGAGCU